rnacentral:rRNA from 1 species
ACCUACGGGACGCAGCAGUGGGGAAUAUUGCACAAUGGGCGAAAGCCUGAUGCAGCAACGCCGCGUGAAGGAAGAAGGCCUUCGGGUCGUAAACUUCUGUCCUUGGGGAAGAAGAACUGACGGUACCCAAGGAGGAAGCCCCGGCUAACUACGUGCCAGCAGCCGCGGUAAUACGUAGGGGGCAAGCGUUAUCCGGAAUUAUUGGGUGUAAAGGGAGCGUAGGCGGGAAGCCAAGUCAGCUGUGAAAACUACGGGCUUAACCUGUAGACUGCAGUUGAAACUGGCUUUCUUGAGUGAAGUAGAGG